CCGGAUUUAGCUGAGAGGUGGUGCAUGGCCGUCGUCAGUUCGUACUGUGAAGCAUCCUGUUAAGUCAGGCAACGAGCGAGACCCAGCCCACAGUUGCCAGCGUACUCUCUGGAGUGACGGGUACACUGUGGGACCGCCGCUGCUAAAGCGGAGGAAGGAAUGGGCAACGGUAGGUCAGUAUGCCCCGAAUAUCCCGGGCUACACGCGAGCUACAAUGGUUGGUACAAUGGGUAUCUACCCCGAAAGGGGACGGGAAUCUCCUAAAACCAAUCUUAGUUCGGAUUGAGGGCUGCAACUCGCCCUCAUGAAGCUGGAAUCCGUAGUAAUCGCGUUUCAACAGAACGCGGUGAAUACGUCCCUGCUCCUU
rnacentral:rRNA from 1 species